UCCAAGGUGUGGAAGUGGUGUGUGGACCGU
rnacentral:piRNA from 1 species